rnacentral:tRNA from 1 species
GGUCUCGUAGCUCAUUUGGCCAGAGCGUUAGCUGUACUAAAGCCUUCCCUUGCUGGCAAGGGUUCAAAUCCCACCAAGGCCA